rnacentral:rRNA from 1 species
GAUGAACGCUGGCGGCGUGCCUAAUACAUGCAAGUAGAACGCUGAAGGAGGAGCUUGCUCUUCUGGAUGAGUUGCGAACGGGUGAGUAACGCGUAGGUAACCUGCCUGGUAGCGGGGGAUAACUAUUGGAAACGAUAGCUAAUACCGCAUGACAACAGUUAUUGCAUGAUAACUGUUUAAAAGGGGCAACUGCUCCACUACCAGAUGGACCUGCGUUGUAUUAGCUAGUUGGUGAGGUAACGGCUCACCAAGGCGACGAUACAUAGCCGACCUGAGAGGGUGAUCGGCCACACUGGGACUGAGACACGGCUCAGACUCCUACGGGAGGCAGCAGUAGGGAAUCUUCGGCAAUGGACGGAAGUCUGACCGAGCAACGCCGCGUGAGUGAAGAAGGUUUUCGGAUCGUAAAGCUCUGUUGUAAGAGAAGAACGAGUGUGAGAGUGGAAAGUUCACACUGUGACGGUAUCUUACCAGAAAGGGACGGCUAACUACGUG